rnacentral:rRNA from 1 species
UGGGGAAUCUUGGACAAUGGGGGCAACCCUGAUCCAGCCAUGCCGCGUGAGUGAUGAAGGCCUUAGGGUCGUAAAGCUCUUUCGCCUGUGAAGAUAAUGACGGUAGCAGGUAAAGAAACCCCGGCUAACUCCGUGCCAGCAGCCGCGGUAAUACGGAGGGGGUUAGCGUUGUUCGGAAUUACUGGGCGUAAAGCGCACGUAGGCGGACCAGAAAGUUGGGGGUGAAAUCCCGGGGGCUCAACCCCGGAACUGCCUCCAAAACUAUUGGUCUAGAGUUCGAGAGAGGUGAGUGGAAUUCCAAGUGUAGAGGUGAAAUUCGUAGAUAUUUGGAGGAACACCAGUGGCGAAGGCGGCUCACUGGCUCGAUACUGACGCUGAGGUGCGAAAGUGUGGGGAGCAAAACAGGAUUAGAUACCCUGGUAGUCCACACCGUAAAACGAUGAAUGCCAGUCGUCGGGUAGCAUGCUAUUCGGUGACACACCUAACGGAUUAAGCAUUCCGCCUGGGGAGUACGUCGCAAGAUUAAAACUCAAAGGAAUUG